rnacentral:rRNA from 1 species
UACGAAGGGGGCUAGCGUUGCUCGGAAUCACUGGGCGUAAAGCGCACGUAGGCGGCUUGCUAAGUCAGGGGUGAAAUCCUGGAGCUCAACUCCAGAACUGCCUUUGAUACUGGGAGUCUUGAGUUCGGGAGAGGUGAGUGGAACUGCGAGUGUAGAGGUGAAAUUCGUAGAUAUUCGCAAGAACACCAGUGGCGAAGGCGGCUCACUGGCCCGAUACUGACGCUGAGGCACGAAAGCGUGGGGAUCAAACAGG